rnacentral:rRNA from 1 species
CAGCACCUCAAGUGGUCAGGAUGAUUAUUGGGCCUAAAGCAUCCGUAGCCGGCGCUGUAAGUUUUCGGUUAAAUCUGUACGCUCAACGUACAGGCUGCCGGGAAUACUGCAGCGCUAGGGAGUGGGAGAGGUAGACGGUACUCGGUAGGAAGGGGUAAAAUCCUUUGAUCUAUUGAUGACCACCUGUGGCGAAGGCGGUCUACCAGAACACGUCCGACGGUGAGGGAUGAAAGCUGGGGGAACAAACCGGAUUAGAGACCCGAGUAGUCC